UACCAGCUCUCCGAGUGGUGGGGAUGAUUAUUGGGCUUAAAGCGUUCGUAGCCGGCUUAGCAAGUCUCCUGUUAAAUUCAGCGACCUAAUCGUUGAGCCGCGGGAGAUACUACUAGGCUAGGAGGCGGGAGAGGUCGACGGUACUUCUGGGGUAGGGGUGAAAUCCUAUAAUCCCGGGAGGACCACCAGUGGCGAAGGCUGUCGACUAGAACGCGCUCGACGGUGAGGGACGAAAGCUGGGGGAGCGAACCGGAUUAGAUACCCGGGUAGUCCCAGCUGUAAACGAUGCGGGCUAGGUGUUGGGGUGGCUACGUGCCACUUCAGUGCCGCAGGGAAGCCAUUAAGCCCGCCGCCUGGGGAGUACGGCCGCAAGGCUGAAACUUAAAGGAAUUGGCGGGGAGCACCACAAGGCGUGAAGCUUGCGGUUC
rnacentral:rRNA from 1 species